CAGCUCCUGCGAGGGGCAGCAAGGGGUCGCCAUGGAGCUCCAAGACGGCAACUCGCCCAGAGCUCGCCAUGGCGUUCCUUCUCUAGGACCCGCGUUGUGGUUAAACAGCUCUCCUUUCCCGCUCGCUCUCUGGGAGGGUCGCGGUCCGAAAAGCAAGGGGCGGGGCGGGGCUGGAAGAAGAGGGGAUGAGUAGGCGGGGCAAGAUCAUGGGGCGGGACUAGAAGUGCCAAAUUAGGUGAUUUUGAGAAGCUUAUUAAUUUUCCAUUCUUUCUUCCUUUUCUUCCUUUUUUUUCAUUUUAUUUUUGAGACAGGGACUCCUGUAGCCCAGAACGUCCUAGAAAUCCUCCUUCAGAGAUCCUCCUUAAAGUACUGGGACUAAAGUCAUAAGACAAAAUGCCAAUUCCAAUAUCCAUAUUUUAAAGACCAAAUGGGGCUUUAAUAACUACACAACAAGCCUAGGGAUUUAACCCAGUGGUAGAAGUCUUGCAUAGCACGCACGAGGUUCUGAGUUCUGUUCCCAACAUGAAACUAAACAAACCAAAAUAUAAAAUAUUCAGCUUGAUAAUAGUUAUUCCUACAGGACAAAGGCAUGCCUCUAAUAAAGGGAGACACCCUUAAGCCAUGCGGGAUGGAAGAAUGGGGUCUUGCCCUCUGUGGGCUUGAAUAUGUGUAAGAAUGCUGUUGUGAACUCUUAACUCCAAGACAUGCAUAACUCCCCCGGGAAAAGGAAUCCAAUGAAGGGGGGGGGGGUGCGUGGGUAAUGAAUGGUGACCGCAGCAGAACUGGCAUUCAUGGUAUUUGCUGGCCCUGGCUCUGAAACACGCUAGAGGGUUCACAUCUGCUUCCCAGAAGGGGAAGCGAGAGGUCUGAUUCUGUCUAGGAAACCACAAGAUUUUGCGGAGCACCUUGCACUUCUGGGCCUGUUGCUGUACUGCAAAGUUGGGUGGUGUGAAAGGAAAGUCUGGUUGUGAACUGAAACCUGACCAAGCAUGGAUGGACCUGGGAGAAUGCAAGGCACUGCGACCAGCCAGGAGAGGGAAAAUCAGGCCUAGACUAGAUGCCCUACUGCAGUGGGACUAGAGCAGGAGAAUAUGAAACAUUAGUUGGGGGGGGGGGAGCUUCUUGGAACAGUAGGGUCCUUCCACUCCCCUUUGGACAGCAUCUUGUGUCUCCCCGUGUUUUUUUGGGAAGUCACAGGAAGGCAGUAACUCCUAGGAAUUUAAAGUGACUUACUUAAUGCCUCAAAGCACAUUAACAGCCAAGUCUUGUCUUAGGUAUUCCACCCCAGGACUCUAUAGGCCGUGACCCCAUUGCCUGUCACCCUCAGCCUUAAUGAGGCUCCUUUGUAAGUAGAGCCACCCAGCCUGGUACUCAGUAGAAGAGGUUAAAACUGCUAACAUCGAAUCUGAAAGCAGUGGCAGUGACUGAAGGUGAUCUCUUGGUACCAGACUAUGCAGUAGUCCAAAAAAUGAACCAUCGGAGUUCCCAGAGAUGGGGACCAUCACCCCACCUCACCAGUGGGGAAGCUGGGGCUCCAAGAAGUUAGGUCACCUGCUUAGGGCUGUACAUAAAGCAGGAAAGGACUGGAUUUGCCUUGUGGGUCCCUACGUCCUCUACAGUGACUUUGUACUUUGUCAGCUCUUAUCUGUAGUGGGGUGUUUUGACUCAGGGUCUUACUCUGUAUUUCAGGUUGGCCUCUAACUCACAGUAGUCCCCCUGCCUCAGCCUCCUGAGUACAAGUGCUAGGAUCAUAAGCAUGUAUCCAUGCUUGGUUAUAACUAGUCUCUUCUGAUAAAAUAUUUCUGUUGAAUUUUUUGGUUUUGUUUUUGUUUUUCAAGACAGGGUCUCAAGGCACUGGCUGUCUGUCCUGAAGCUCACUGUGAAGACCCUGAACUCACUGAUCCACCUGCCUCUGCUUCCCAAGAGCUAGGAUUAAAAGCCUGUGCUAUCACACCCAGCUUCCAGAAGAUUGCACUCAGGUCAUCAGACUUGGCAGCAAGCACCUGUACCCACUGAGCCCAUCUGCUGGCCCCUCUGCUGGGUUUCGUCAUCGUCAUCAUCGUCAUCGUCGUCAUCAUCACCAUCACCAUCAUCAUCCUCAUAAUCGAGGGCUGACUCCAAGAUCUUGUGCAUAUUAGGCUUCCAGGUGGGGAUACCAAGGCCCAGAGAAGCCGGGACAUGCCUUCUUGGCACCCUAACCUGUGGACACCCACCUCAGCGCUGCGGCUCCUGGCCUCCAUAGCUCUGCAGAGAGUCACCUGGGGGCUCGAGCUCCCGUGUCCUCUCCUCCUUCUGCUGCAGGACCACCUUCAGCUCCUCAUGGAGCAGCUGCCGCUGAGCCUGGGGGUAUAAGAUGGAGGCCUGAGGCAAGGAGGGAUUGUCGGGUAGAGAUGGGGCUUGCCAGAGAGGUCGAGUGCAGGGAUGGCAUCAGGCGGGCGGAGAGUAGGGCCCCUCACCGCUUCUUGAGUGAUGGCCUUUUCUCCUGACAGGAGCCCCACUCGGGGUGAUGCACAGCUGUAAGCAGGAAUCUCACUCUUCCUUUGAGGUCUUGCUGCCUGCCAAGGAGAGAGAGACAAGGGGCGUGGGACAUCAGACAGACCCAGGGAAGAUAGAGAGGGGCAUGCGGAACCAGCCAGCUCUCACCUGAGGGUCACUUCCAGCUUCCUGGGCCUCCUGGGUCUGGGGCUCUAGGAAGAACAACACACACAGUAGUAUUAUCUCAUAUCCCCUGUGCUCGUUCUGACGAUUCUUUGUGCUCAAGUGCCUUACGGUUAUUUCCCAGGCCAGCCUGGAUAGCCUCCGUAGUGAGACACUGCCUCAAAAGCCUGAAUGCCGAGCCAGGAACGCUUGCCCGGUAGUACACACUGGCAGUCCCAUCAUGUCUGGUUUGUUCUGUGCUAGUGAGUCAAUCCCAGGGUUUUGCGCAUGCGAAGCUACCAUUUUACCACCUGAGCUACAUUCCUAGGCCUCGCUUUGAGUUUGAGACAGGGUCUUUGAACACAUUAGCCUCAAAUUCUCUAGGUAGCUGAAGAUGACUUUGAGCUAUUGCCCUCCUCCCACCCCAUUUCAGCCUCCCAAAUACCGGGGUCACAGGCAAAUGUCACCGUCUUUAGUUUACCAGACAGCUACUUUACUGAAAAUAUGCCGUCUCAGAGAAGCCAAGCAAAUUUGUACCGGUGUGGCACACAACCCAAGAAGAAGGCACAGAGAAGGCAGCCUCCAGCCGGGCCCUCCUGGUGACAUGGAGGAGGUGACUGUCUCUGAGCUUGGCCCCCACCUGGCAUGCCAGCCCGCCAACCCCUGCCACACAGGAAAAGGUCAGGCUCAUGCGGCACAUUCCCUCACACAAUGGCCAGUCUGCUGUGCCAGUCACAUUCUGCCCCUGCCCACCCGCCCACCCACCCACUGCCAUACAAUGGCCCUUCAUAGCUCGGCCCUGGAGCAAAGGAGAUCAGUCAGUAGAGUGCUUGCCUAGCAUGCACAAAGGCCCUGGGGUCAGUUCUCCAGAAUUUCCUAAACCAGGCAUGGUGGCACACAACGAUAAUCCCAGUAUUUUUUUUUUUUUUUUAAAGAUUUAUUUAUUUAUUAUAUGUAAGUACACUGUAGCUGUCUUCAGACACUCCAGAAGAGGGCGUCAGAUCUUGUUACAGAUGGUUAUGAGCCACCAUGUGGUUGCUGGGAUUUGAACUCCUGACCUUCGGGAGAGCAGUCGGGUGCUCUUACCCACUGAGCCAUCUCACCAGCCCGAUAAUCCCAGUAUUUGGCAGGUAGAGACAGGAAGAUGAAACAAUUCAAGGUCAUUCUUAGCUCCCUAGGCCAACCACAUGAAAUGGGUCUAUGCAACACAACAAACUUAGGUCACAAUUGGCUGAACUAGACAACCCUCUGGACGCAUCCACACAUGCUGUAAUCACACCCCCUCAAGCCCACCACUGGCCCCCAGUAUCUGAAAGCUCCUGUCAGCAACUCCUAGGAAUCCCAGAUUCUGUCUCUAAGCCCAGCCUCCCUUGUGAACCCUUUCGGCUCCUGCACACAAGCUGAACACCUCUCCUAAGAUGGCUUCCCUGUGAACCAGGCCCUGGCACAGGGACAGAGAUCAAGGCUUGGUGAGAAGUUUCCUGUCCAGAGUCACAAAGCCAGGAUGAGGCAGAGUAAAGACCUAUGCCCUUGGCCUCUACUCUACACCUAACUAAUUUGCGGAGCUGCUGGGGAGAGUUGAGGUGAGCAAGAGGAGUCAAGCUGAAUAAAUUCCAGAGGACCUUGUCGGUGCCAGGCCUGGCCGCGGGACACUAUUUUGCUGACAAGUAAAGGAAAGUUAAAGACAGACUGUCGUAAACUGGGUGUGGCCGGAGACUCCUGUAAUCAAAUAGGAUUAUGAGUUAAAAUGUAGCCUGAGCUACAUGAGACCCUGUCUCAAAAAUACUGAAAAAAUACUGGAAGGCAGGAAGAUUUAUGGUUUAUGUCCAGCAACAUGUUCUGGCUUCAUCCUGAACAUGACCAUCUCAAAAAAAAAAAAAAAAGAAAGAAAGAAAGAAAGAAAGAAAGGAAGGAAGGAAGGAAGGAAGGAAGGAAGAAAGAAAGAAAGAAAGAAAGAAAGAAAGAAAGAAAGAAAGAAAGAAAGAAAGAAAGAAAGAAAGAAAGAAAGAGAAAGAAAAGGAAAGGAAAGGAAAGGAAAGGAAAGGAAAGGAAAGGAAAGGAAAGGAAAGGAAAGGAAAGGAAAGGAAAGGAAAGGAAAGGAAAGGAAAAAUUUACAAAAACAACAAAAGGAGUGGGGACCUGAGAGAUGGCUCAGCGGUUAAGAGUGCUGGCUGCUCUUCCAAGGGACCUUGGGUUCAAUUCCCAGCAUCCAUACGAUAGCUCAAAACUGUUUGUACUAGGGGAUCUGGCAUCUUCAAACAUACAUGUAGGCAAAACAUUAAUGCACAUAAAAUAAAA